UACAGAGAGUGCAAACGUUGUUCGGAAUUACUGGGCUUAAAGCGCGCGUAGGCGGCAUUGUAAGUGUCUGGUGAAAUCCCACGGCUCACCCGUGGAACUGCCGGGCAUACUGCGGUGCUAGAGUGUGGUAGGGGAGAGCGGAACUCCUGGUGGAGCGGUGAAAUGCGUAGAUAUCAGGAGGAACACCGGUGGCGAAGGCGGCUCUCUGGUCCAUAACUGACGCUGAGGUGCGAAAGCUAGGGGAGCAAACGGGAUUAGAUACCCCGGUAGUCCUAGCUGUAAACGAUGGGCACUAGCUUGGGGUCUCCCUGUGUGAUCCCAGGUGAAGCAAAAGUGAUAAGUGCCCCGCCUGGGGAGUAUGGUCGCAAGGCUGAA
rnacentral:rRNA from 1 species